UACGAAGGGGGCUAGCGUUGCUCGGAAUCAUUGGGCGUAAAGGGUGCGUAGGUGGCGGGGCAAGUCAGGUGUGAAAUCUCGAGGCUCAACCUCGAAACUGCACUUGAUACUGCCUUGCUCGAGUACUGGAGAGGAGAUUGGAAUUUACGGUGUAGCAGUGAAAUGCGUAGAUAUCGUAAGGAAGACCAGUGGCGAAGGCGAAUCUCUGGACAGUUACUGACACUGAGGCACGAAGGCCAGGGGAGCAAACAGG
rnacentral:rRNA from 1 species